rnacentral:rRNA from 1 species
AACGAACGCUGGCGGCGUGCUUAACACAUGCAAGUCGAACGGAGCACGAGGGAGCUUGCUCCGUCGGGAUCAGAAGCGAACGGGUGCGUAACACGUGAGCAAUCUGCCCCGGACUCUGGGAUAAUCGUUGGAAACGCCGCCUAAUGCCGGAUACGACGCGGGGGGGCAUUCUCUCCGCGUGGAAAGAACUUCGGUUCGGGGUGAGCUCGCGGCAUGUCAGCUUGGUGGUGAGGUACCGGCUAACCAAGGCGACGACGGGUAGCAGGGCUGAGGCGGUGACCGGACAAACUGGGACGGGACUAAGGCACAGACUACUACCGGACGCAGCAGUGGGGAAGAGUGUAUAAUGGGCGGAAGGCUAAUGUAGCAACGCCGCGUGGCGGACGACGGCCUGCGGGUUGUAUACCUCUGUUCGCAGGGAAGAAGCGAAAGUGACGGUACCUGCAGAAAAAGCCCCGGCUAACUACGUG